rnacentral:lncRNA from 1 species
CUCUGCCUCCCCCAUCCCAUUCCUUGUUGUCCCAUUAAUAGCAAGAAAGAGAGCCCAAAUUAUUUCACAAAGCGAUUCUUCUGGUUGGAGAAGUAACACUCGAUGUGGAGAGUAAGACUCGUAGAUACAGAAAGAAGUCCGCAUUACCUUUUGACAUUUAAAGAGUUAAUUACCCAGGAUUUCCUCCUAGCUAUAGAUUUCCCCAGCAUUUAAUGCAUUUAAAUACUCUGCUUAUUUGACUAAGAAAAUUUUAGUUUUUUAUCUGCUGUAACUAAGGUACCUAUAUCAAUACAACUGUAUACUUGCCCCAGGACAAUCCCUUCUGCCCCUAUUAUAAUCCUUUUGGGACAUGCCUCCGGAGUAUGAAGUAGCAGUCACUCCGCAAGCAUGAAGGUGAAAAGCCACAUUUGCAUCACUCAAGAGUUUUCCCAUCAUGUCUACCAACCCCUUGAAGAUAGCUUCGAGAAAUGAAGAAGUCGUGUCAUCUGCAUUUCUGUUGUUACUAAAAAUGAAGAAGAGUUAAUUAAUGGGACUGGGCAAAAAGUAGAGCAAGCUCAUUUGCUGAGAUUACAAUCAGUAAGGUUUGAAGAUUUCCAAAAUAAAAAGUUGGAAGGAACUUGUAUAAAUGCAUGGAAAAGCUAUUCCUCUGAACAACAGGCUUCAAGCGUGGUGCUGACUGUCUCACAGUGAGAACCCCAUCGAGCAGUUGCCAUGAGAGCUUAGCUGAGUUGAGCAGCCUGGGGAGUAAGUUCAUAAACUGAGGAAUUCAUUUAUCUUCCACAGUAACACCCCCUCCAAAACCAACUACAAACUACUUAACCCAUCAAAACUGAGAGCUGCCAAAGCCACUUUCCUCCUGGGACUGUAAAUGCCUUCACAGUCAAAGUCACAAAGCUUUUCAAGCUGGUGCACUGGUGAUUGGUUUAAACUGCUAAAACUCUGAUUAUCUUUAGAUUCCAAUUUCUCAUUUAAAAUCACUAGUCAUUCUAGAUACAUGAUGAUUAAAAAAAUUGAAACUGAAGAUAAAAAAUAAAUGAGGAGUCACAUUACCAUCUUGUUCAUGUCUCAGGAGCUUCAGACUUACGGCAGUAACAUUGCCAUCUACCUUCUAUUUCCACAGGCUCUCAGAGUGGAUAUUAAGUUUUAUAAUCAAAACAAAUGUUUUACUUGAACAGGAAUCCAGGGGUUUAACAAACUCUAGAAAUGCUAAUGUGAAUGACCUGCUACAUUAACGUAGGUAAGAAUUCCUCUGCCUUUAUUGCCAUUCUGAAGCAUGCUAAACAACAUGAAGAAGGUUGGAAUAAUGCAUUUUUUACUUCUCUCGCCAUGUGUUUGGAGUCUUAAAUCACUGGUGAUUGGUUUUCAUUCAUUCAUUUGUUGACAUCUUUAUUCAGUCAGUCAUAAACAUUUACUGUUAGCUAAGAUACAGGUGCAAAAGUAUUGAUUACAAAGUGUUUAAUAAUAUCAAAAUCUAGAAAGAAACUAAAUAUUACUCUAUACAGAGUGAAUGAAGUAAAUCACAGUCCAUCCUAGCCUGUAGCAGCUAAAAGAUAUGAGGUAAAAUUAUAUGUCUUUUCAUGGAGAAAUGUGAUUGUUAUAUGACUGGGGGCCCAGGAAGGAACAGAUUUUAGAAUGACAUUUCUAGUGUGAUUUUUAAAUUAAAUUGUGUAUGUGUGGAUAUGUAUAUUCCUAUAAGAGUCUAGAAAAUAUAUGCUACCUUGUUAACGGUGAUCAUCUCUGGGGUAUUACUGAGUGAAAUGGUUUUGUAUCAUUUGAUUUUCUUACAACAGAUAAUCUAUCUCUUUACUACAGAGUUGCAUUUACUUGUUAUGUGAGCCCAUGAAAGAAUUAUACCAGGACCCCUUGUGGUUGGGUGGCACCAUGUGAUUGGUUCUGUCUAAAGAGUUAUGAGCAAAAAUGGCAUGUGUCACUUCCAGGCUGGAAUGUUUAAUUGCUGGUGCAGGAUCCUCCUGAGCUCUUUUCUUUUGACACAAACCCUUGAGAUGGUGGCUCAAGUUUGAGAUAGCGGCUGCUCCAUCAGCCUAGAUUCGGAAAUGAGAUGUGGAUCGGAGCUCUCAGCCAAUCCCCAGUGGACACUUAAUUAGAG